rnacentral:rRNA from 2 species
GUGGGUAGUUUGACUGGGGCGGUCUCCUCCUAAAGAGUAACGGAGGAGCACGAAGGUUGGCUAAUCCUGGUCGGACAUCAGGAGGUUAGUGCAAUGGCAUAAGCCAGCUUGACUGCGAGCGUGACGGCGCGAGCAGGUGCGAAAGCAGGUCAUAGUGAUCCGGUGGUUCUGAAUGGAAGGGCCAUCGCUCAACGGAUAAAAGGUACUCCGGGGAUAACAGGCUGAUACCGCCCAAGAGUUCAUAUCGACGGCGGUGUUUGGCACCUCGAUGUCGGCUCAUCACAUCCUGGGGCUGAAGUAGGUCCCAAGGGUAUGGCUGUUCGCCAUUUAAAGUGGUACGCGAGCUGGGUUUAGAACGUCGUGAGACAGUUCGGUCCCUAUCUGCCGUGGGCGCUGGAGAACUGAGGGGGGCUGCUCCUAGUACGAGAGGACCGGAGUGGACGCAUCACUGGUGUUCGGGUUGUCAUGCCAAUGGCACUGCCCGGUAGCUA